rnacentral:rRNA from 1 species
UACGGAGGGCGCAAGCGUUGUUCGGAAUCACUGGGCGUAAAGCGCGUGUAGGCGGCUUGGUAAGUCGGGUGUGAAAGCCCGGAGCUCAACUCCGGAACUGCACUCGAAACUGCCUCGCUCGAGUGCCGGAGAGGGUGGUGGAAGUCCCGGUGUAGAGGUGAAAUUCGUAGAUAUCGGGAGGAACACCAGUGGCGAAGGCGGCCACCUGGACGGUGACUGACGCUGAGACGCGAAAGCGUGGGGAGCAAACAGG